GGCAUGGCGGCGUGCUUACACAUGCAGUUCGACGAAGCACCUGAGAAUGAUUCCUUCCGGAUGAAGUCUCUUUGUGACUGAGUGGCGGACGGGUGAGUAACGCGUGGGUAACCUGCCUCACACAGGGGGAUAACAGUUGGAAACGACCGCUAAUACCGCAUAACCCGCUGGUGCCGCAUGGCACUGACGGAAAAGAUUUAUCGGUGUGAGAUGGACCCGCGUCUGAUUAGCCAGUUGGCAGGGUAACGGCCUACCAAAGCGACGGUCGGUAGCCGGCCUGAGAGGGCGGACGGCCACAUUGGGACUGAGACACGGCCCAAACUCCUACGGGAGGCAGCAGUGGGGAAUAUUGCACAAUGGGGGAAACCCUGAUGCAGCAACGCCGCGUGGGUGAAGGAGCGUUUCGGCGCGUAAAGCCCUGUCAGCGGGGAAGAAGAAAGACGGUACCCGACCAAGAAGCCCCGGCUAACUACGUGCCAGCAGCCGCGGUAAUACGUAGGGGGCGAGCGUUAUCCGGAAUUACUGGGUGUAAAGGGAGCGUAGACGGCGAGGUAAGCCUGAAGUGGAAGCCCGCGGCCCAACCGCGGAACUGCUUUGGGAACUGUUUUGCUGGAGUAUGGGAGGGGUAAGCGGAAUUCCUGGUGUAGCGGUGAAAUGCGUAGAUAUCAGGAGGAACACCGGCGGCGAAGGCGGCUUACUG
rnacentral:rRNA from 1 species